rnacentral:lncRNA from 1 species
ACCACCUGCUUCCUGAGAAACAGGAGCAAAUAAUCAAGGAUUCAUUGACAGUGUUUCCACUCAUCCUGUUUGGGAUGUGCAUUGGGGUUGGCCUGUCCAGCCAGCCCCAAAGGUAGCUCCUGUGCUGCGCUGCCACUGUGCGUUCAGUCUUGCUGCCCCCUAGUCUCUGAUCUUGAGUUUCAUCUCUCUAGUCAAACAGAGAGAGCACCACCUGCUCUGGAGAACUGAUUAAUAGUGGAGAAAAACCUCGUUUAUUGGGGAAAUAAAAAACGCCCAUUCUGAUGGUGAUAGAAAAAG